AUUGAACGCUGGCGGCAGGCCUAACACAUGCAAGUCGAGCGGAUGCAGGGAGCUUGCUCCUGGAUUCAGCGGCGGACGGGUGAGUAAUGCCUAGGAAUCUGCCUGGUAGUGGGGGAUAACGUCCGGAAACGGGCGCUAAUACCGCAUACGUCCUGAGGGAGAAAGUGGGGGAUCUUCGGACCUCACGCUAUCAGAUGAGCCUAGGUCGGAUUAGCUAGUUGGUGGGGUAAAGGCCUACCAAGGCGACGAUCCGUAACUGGUCUGAGAGGAUGAUCAGUCACACUGGAACUGAGACACGGUCCAGACUCCUACGGUGAGCAGCAGUGGGGAAUAUUGGACGAUGGGCGAAAGCCUGAUCCAGCCAUGCCGCGUGUGUGAAGAAGGUCUUCGGAUUGUAAAGCACUUUAAGUUGGGAGGAAGGGCAGUAAGUUAAUACCUUGCUGUUUUGACGUUACCAACAGAAUAAGCACCGGCUAACUUCGUG
rnacentral:rRNA from 1 species